CACACGAAAAGCACUUGGGAAUUGUUAGAGACAACAAACUAUGCAACAAUGUGCAAUGUCAAUCAGCAGUGGCUAAGACCAGUAAGGUACUGCCAUGCAUGAAAAAGGGCAUUCAUUCUCAGGAUGAGAAUAUCAUUUUGUCUCUUUAUAAAUCACUGGUUAGACCACAUAUUGAAUAUGCUGGGCACCUGUUCUAAAGAUGGAUAUUAUGGCAUUGGCAAACGUGCAGAGGCGGCUACAAAAUUAAUAAAAGGAAUGGAACAUAUAAGCUAGGAAGAAAGGUUAACAAAUUUAAACCUCUUUAGUUUAGAAAAACGUCGCCUCAGAGGGGAUAUGAUAACAUUAUACAAAUAUAUACGGGGCCAAUACAAACCAUUGUGUGGAAAUCUAUUC